UACCUACGGGGGGCAGCAGUGAGGAAUAUUGGUCAAUGGGCGUAAGCCUGAACCAGCCAAGUCGCGUGAGGGAUGAAGGUUCUAUGGAUCGUAAACCUCUUUUAUAAGGGAAUAAAGUGCGGGACGUGUCCCGUUUUGUAUGUACCUUAUGAAUAAGGAUCGGCUAACUCCGUGCCAGCAGCCGCGGUAAUACAGAGGAUCCGAGCGUUAUCCGGAUUUAUUGGGUCUAAAGGGUGCGUAGGCGGAUCGUUAAGUCAGUGGUCAAAUUGAGGGGCUCAACCCCUUCCCGCCAUUGAAACUGGCGC
rnacentral:rRNA from 1 species